AUUGAACGCUAACGGCAUGCUUAACACAUGCAAGUCGAACGGCAGCACGGUAGUAGCAAUACUAUGGGUGGCGAGUGGCGGACGGGUGAGUAAUGCUUAGGAAUCUGCCUAUUAGUGGGGGACAACAUUCCGAAAGGGAUGCUAAUACCGCAUACGCCCUACGGGGGAAAGCAGGGGAUCUUCGGACCUUGCGCUAAUAGAUUAGGCUAAGUCGGAUUAGCUAGUUGGUGGGGUAAAGGCCUACCAAGGCGACGAUCUGUAGCGGGUCUGAGAGGAUGAUCCGCCACACUGGGACUGAGACACGGCCCAGACUCCUACGGGAGGCAGCAGUGGGGAAUAUUGGACAAUGGGCGGAAGCCUGAUCCAGCCAUGCCGCGUGUGUGAAGAAGGCCUUUUGGUUGUAAAGCACUUUAAGCGAGGAGGAGGCUACUAGUACUAAUACUACUGGAUAGUGGACGUUACUCGCAGAAUAAGCACCGGCUAACUCUGUGCCAGCCGCCGCGGUAACAC
rnacentral:rRNA from 1 species